UUGAAAGUUUUUCUUUAGAGAAACAGGUACAGCAUGGGCAGUGGCUGAGUCAGCUUCCCACACCCUAUCCUGCUAAUGUGCCUCAGGCUCAUCCUGAACAGGUGAGAGGGCAGUUCAAUCUCUGGCCAUU
rnacentral:sRNA from 1 species